rnacentral:lncRNA from 1 species
AUGUCCCGCUACCGAGCCAUAGAACAAACAUUGCCGUUGUUCUCGCUCUCAACUUUUCAGGGCAUGCGCAGGAAGCCCGAAAAAUAACGCGAUCUGCAUUGACUUCGCGGCAACUUCAUUGUUUACUGAGUUGUGUAUUUUUGUUGAGGCAGUAAUGUUUAAUCUCCCUAUCACAGAAUUCAAAACACGAAAAGAUAGAAUAAAGCUCCGAGGGCAGAAAUGAGUAGGUUGAGGGUAGCGUAGCGUGAUAAAAAAGAUGGUGAAGUGCGUUAUUUUUGAUGAACGAUAGAAGAAGGGAGUCAAAGAAGUUUCGUUUCACGUGUUCCCUAGCCGCAGCUUCCUUCCCCGUAGCUUCCUUCCCCGCCAAAAUUUUGAGCUACGGCUUCUGAAACCAGAUGCUUCUCCAUCUGUUGACCUAUGCGUCAAGAGAAUGGAACGGAAUGAAAAAUUAAAAAAAUAAUGUACCGUACUGUACUGUAACCUCUUGCUGAAGUUUAAUGAACAAAUGACGCGACGAUCAACCUGAUCAGCUGGCUGUUAUUGCUCAAUAAUAAUGAUUAUAAUAAAUUCUAUUUUCCUAUCUCUAAACUAUACAUAUAGGUACUCCGUGACAUCCCAUUUAUUUGUAAAUAUACUUGGCGCUACCACAUCCACGGACCAUUCAAAGAUGGUAAACAGUUGUCAAUGGAAACCCUGGAUUUACAAAAGAAGCCUUUGAUACUAUUAAAGCUAAAACAGCAUCGAAAAAGGUGGUGUGUAAUUUUGUUUUUUAUGAAACGGCAAUACGUCAAAAGAUUGAGUUCAAUGGUAAAGAUUACAUAGGAUUUGUUGACAUGGGAAAAUAUUUUGAGCAUGACCGUUUGCAAUUCACCAAGCAAAACAGGAAGUCAACUAAUAUAAUAACAAGUAUUCAUGGCAGUAUUAUCUAAAAGCUCACAGAAAGUUCCGCUCAUCUAUUUCUUUGUUGAUGGCAUAGCCCGCGCUAAGUUACUGAAAGGUUUCGUGAAACAGGAGUAAAGAUAUGUUCUAUAACAUUUGACAGUGCAAGCACCAAUAAAGCAAUAAUAAUGGAGUGAGGUACUUGUCUGGAAAUACAGAAUUUGAAACCAUAGAUACUGUAUCCUAUAAAAAGUUUUUGUAUUUUAUGCCUCACAUUGCACAAAGUUGGUAUGCAAUGCUUUUAGUCAUUUGAAAACUGUGAACACAUCCAAAGGAGGAAUCAUCAGCUGGAAUUACGUACAAAAAACACAAAAGAGAGAACAGGAAGGAUUACAAACUGAUACAAAACUUGCAAAGAGGCACAUACAUUUUGAAAACGAGAAAUUAACGUCAGGCUUGCAUUACACUACAAUCAUCCUGACGAGAUUGGUGACAAAAAUUUCCAAGGGUCUGCACCUAUGGCUGUGUUCUAUACAUAUUUGAAGCUUUUGACAUGAUAAACUGUGGCACUAGAUUUCCAAAGAAUCUAAAUAACCUACCACUUCAAAUGAGCACAGAAGCAAUUCAGCUUUUGUACAAGACUGCGAUUCAUAUAUUUCUAGCCUUUGAAAUCAGAUGGUGUGUUGCUUGUUGCUGGCAGACAUCACACGGGAUUUAUGGGAAUCAUAAUAGCUCUUACAAAUGCAAUUGAACUUUACAGAACUCUAUAUGCUCAGGGUAUGAUACAGUGUUUUUUGACCUUUGAAAUAUUCUAAGACCAUGUGAAGACAUUCGUUGGUGCAAUUUGAGCCUGUGGUGGUUUCAACACAAUCGACUAUGCCGACAAUUCAAAGCUGCAGAUACUAAAACUCUCAUACUAUAUCCAAAGAGCAUUGAGUUUGAAUAGGUUUACUUAGGAUGUCGGUGAAUAUUUCAUUGGAUUUGUAGUCAGAAAGUUGAAGAGAAAGGUCACUCGUGUUGAGUGUAUCAAUCAGCUCGAAUAUGAACAAACAACAAACUCAUUUGUUUGACUGAAAACUAGGGGUGGAAUGAUACAGCCAUCACAAGAUGUGACAUACAUCUGCAAUUGGACAGAGAGGGUAAUCCGCCAAUACGGCACAUUCGUAAUAGGAUGCAAGGUAUUUAUCCAUAAUGCAGUGAAACAAAUUGUUUUUCAAAAUGUUUCCUUGGAGCUCCAAGAGCAUGGUUUGCAAUAAGAACUUUUUAACGAUCACCGCAAUCAGCUGAUAAAUUUGGUAGUUAAUUCUUACAUUGGUAUACAAUUCCAUCACAUUAUAUAAAUACUGGAGUGGCUGAUGAGAGAAAAUGGCAUAAAUAAAGUAGUCUUAUUCAAUAACGAGUAAAAGUAGUGUAAUUGCAAAAGAUUCUAAUGUUUUUAUACUUGUAGCGAAGUCUGUUCCGAAAUAAAUAUUUUAUGCGCAUGUGCCGAAAAGUUGAGACAGAAAAAUUAUGGAGGAUAGAAGUAAGGAGGACCAUCUUGUAUGAGGGAUCACUUGAAAAAGUGUCCACUUGUAUUCAGAAAAUUAUUGUUCGAACACUCACCGAAAUAGCGCUAGUGUAGCAAGUGGAAAUGACAUGAAUUUAGCAGUUAUAAACAAAGUGAAGUGUGCUGGGUUAAAAAAUGUAAUAUUUCUCUUGACUUCUGUACUUCUUGAAUGCAGUAUUUCAAAUCUCAACUAUUUACGUACCCAACUAUAAUUUAGUAAAUAAUUUAGAAACUGCUGAAAUAACAAAAAAUAUGGAAGCAAUGGGAAAACUUUUUUCCGUGAAAAAUUGUCCAAGUGGGCGAAAAUUGAAAAGCAAAGGAAUUUCAAUUGAUACGUCUCAACCUCUAUCUUUUUUUCGACCAACAACGCCGUGAAAAUUAAAAAAAUGGAAUAUGGCUUUGGGCACAACAAUGAAAAUAACUGAGUAUAUUUGUCAACUACAUUUUAAAGAGGAGGACAUCAAGAUGUGCGAAACGUUCAAUAUUAAAGGUGACAUUAGGAUUCUUCCUACAGGCAAACAAACAUUACGAGGAGCUCUUCCAAAAUUGAGCAUCAGUUUAUCUCUGUAUCAGCACAUGAACUCCAAACAAGUGUCGUCAAUAAAUCACAAAACGUGCAUUCUAAUCAAAAUCAAUCAGAAAACAAACGGGGCCACCUAACAGAAGAGCAUCAUAAUCAACAUGAGCACCAAGAAUUGUUACUUGAUCAGGGAGUUCCUAAUAAUUUAAUUCGUGUGAUUCAACAAACUGAACACGAUUUAGAUAUACCGUAGUUGAAUCAAGAAACUCCCGAUGAUGUACAGAAUGAUAAAGAAUCUGAUGUAAAUUUUCUAUCAGCAGAGAAAUUUUUGGAAAAUAUAAAAUCUUCACCGCUGCCGCAAGGCUGGAUGUAUUUCGAAAAACCAAAAGGGCUAGAAUUUGGGCAGAUAAAUCCAACAACUAUGCAAAUUUCAAAUCGUCUACAAGUAAACAAGGAUUCAUCUAUUACUGGCUAUUUUUUUUACCAAUGAAGAGUCGAAUAUAAAUGACAAUAUAAGUUCUUUCAACAGUAUCUACGAUUACUUAAAGUUAGUAGAAAGAUGGCCAAUAUGCGUUGGAACUCAAAUUGACAAUAACAAGUUUUCAAAACUUUGUAAGGGUGUACUUGUUGGUGAUGAUUCCUAUGAAAGAAAUCAAGCGAAUCCAAGAUGUAAAUCUCAUAGAAUUUUACGUCAUCGUUUACAGAACUAUAAUUCAACUUCAACUGUUUUAGAAAGUACAAUUGCUCAACAACGUCGUACGUACUUCUAAUCUACACAAACGAUGUAAACGAUGAAAAGAAUGGGAAACCAUACUAUUUGUACUCUUCCAACGGCAAUAUAGUAUAUUAAAGCCUGAUUCUAUCCAAGAUACGUACAAUAAUUAAGAAUAUUUUUCUCAAACAAUGUUCACAAAUGUUGUUCAUUGAUCGCCACUCAUUCAGGAGUUCAGUAUCAUUAAUAUUAGUUAUUUCAGUCCGCAACUAAUGUAUAGUGCAUUACAUUAUAUGUAUAAUGAAAAUAACAUGAAAUAAUAUGAAUUGUAAUUAGGAAUAAUGCCAUAACCAUCAUUUUUGAAAAAACUUUUUUGACAGUGUAUUUCUAUUAAACAAUCAUAUGUCUGAAUAUUAUAUUGACUAAAUAACGAGACAAAUAUUUGUUAAAGCAUAAUUGCUUAUUACCAUACAUAUAUAAUACAUUUUACGUUGAAUUU